rnacentral:rRNA from 1 species
GACGUAGGGCGCGAGCGUUGUCCGGAUUUAUUGGGCGUAAAGAGCUCGUAGGCGGCUUGUCGCGUCGAAUGUGAAAACCCACGGCUCAACUGUGGGCUUGCAUUCGAUACGGGCAGGCUAGAGUUCGGUAGGGGAGACUGGAAUUCCUGGUGUAGCGGUGAAAUGCGUAGAUAUCAGGAGGAACACCGGUGGUGUAGACGGCUCUCUGGACCGUAACUGACGCUGAGGCACGAAAGCGUGGGUAGCAAACAGG